GAUGAACGCUGGCUACAGGCUUAACACAUGCAAGUCGAGGGGAAACGACGGGGAAGCUUGCUUCCCCGGGCGUCGACCGGCGCACGGGUGAGUAACGCGUAUCCAACCUGCCUCUGACUGAGGGAUAACCCGUCGAAAGUCGGCCUAAUACCUCAUGGCAUCGUCUGCGGGCAUCCAACGACGAUUAAAGAUUUCAUCGGUCAGAGAUGGGGAUGCGUCUGAUUAGCUUGUUGGCGGGGUAACGGCCCACCAAGGCGACGAUCAGUAGGGGUUCUGAGAGGAAGGUACCCCACAUUGGAACUGAGACACGGUCCAAACUCCUACGGGAGGCAGCAGUGAGGAAUAUUGGUCAAGGGGCGAGAGCCUGAACCAGCCAAGUAGCGUGCAGGAUGACGGCCCUAUGGGUUGUAAACUGCUUUUAUGCGGGGAUAAAGUGAGGGACGUGUCCUUCAUUGCAGGUACCGCAUGAAUAAGGACCGGCUAAUUCCGUG
rnacentral:rRNA from 1 species